AACAUUGAUUCACCCGGACUCUUUCGGUUACAAGUGUCAGAAACUAAACUUACUGAGUUAAGCCAAACUGGAACAAUGGGUUCAAACAGCAGAGAAGUCCAGGAGUAAGCUGGCCCAGGAAGCCCAGUGACUUAGACAAUGUGAUUACAUUUUACCAUCUCCCUCUAUCUCCAAGCUCAGGUUCUACCUGUUGUCCUCUUCCUUUUCUAUAGAUUGGCUUCUUCCUCAUGGCCAGGUUGAAUGAGAAAAUGGUAAAAGAGGUGUGGAUGCAGACAACUCUAGGCGUUCAUUUCCUACUUAGUAACACCAGAGCUUCUCUAUUCCAUUGUCUCUCUCUAUGAAACUGCAGGGAAGAACUCUGAUUGGCCUGAAUUGGGUCAUGUGCUCAUCCCUGUGGCCAUGGAAACCAGUUACUAUGAUUGGCCAGGCCUACUUUUUAUGUUCAUUCCUAUGGCUGCAGGGCCAUGUCCUGCGAUUGGCAGCUCCUCACAACCACAUGGAGUGGAAGAGCUGUCCCUAGAAAUAAGGUGCUUGGUAUUCUGAGAGCCUCUCUGUUGCCACUGUGCUCUUUCUUUCCUGGACAACUGCAGCCACCAUAGUCCUGCGCCCUCACCUCCAGUUGAGCUCUCCUCCAGGCCAUGCUGCACCAGCAAGUCAGAUCAUGCCACUCCCCGUCUUUGGACAAGAAUGACAGCCACAUCAUCUGGAGAAGGCAGCCAGGGAAGUACUCAAGAGAAAACACUUCUGUGGGUGACUUGAAGAAGCUGGUCACCAUAUGGUUGUGGACCAAGCUUCACCUUUUUGCAGAUUUCUGUUCCAGCAAGUUACUCCCCCAGAUCCCACCUAUUUUAAAAGCAACUCCCAGAGAAAGAAAGGCUUGGCAGCCAACAGAUGACCACCACAUUCUCUCCCACAAGUCAUCUGAUUUCAAAAGGCAAGUUCUGUUCACAGGAAGGAGAGUAUCCAUACAAGUCCAAGUUCAGUGAGAGGGACUGUCCUGUAACCUGGAAGCCAAGGACUGGAAUGCCCUCAUUGACUUAUUCUGAUUCAUAAACUUUAAAUUACUAAAAGAGGUUAACAACUUCAACAUGUGGCAUAAUCCAGCGAUUAAUUUGUUCAAAUAAGAGAAAAAAGUUUAACUUUGUAACAAUAAUAUGAACACAAAAACAUUUCCUGGGAGCAAAAAAAAAAGUGGCUUUGAAAUUCUGCCUUUUAUCUUCCUGGGAAAAGCAAGAGCUUACAAACUGGGGUGGGGGGGAAGGUUUCUUUUUGGUAAACUCAUAGGCCUUUGGCCACUGCUUCCCUUCCACCUCAAUUGUUUUCUUCUGAUCUAUGCAUUGACCAUGUAGAAAUGUUCAAAUGAAAGCACCCGGUCAUUUUUACUUAUCUUUCUUAUUUUUUCUAGAAAGAGGCCUUGAUAUAUUCUAGUUUCACAAGUGAUUUUGCUAGAUUUUUGCCAUUACGAAUCUGUUUCGCUUUAACUGCAAACCACCUGAUUCUGAUUUUCCCUAGCCAUAAAUCUGAAUUUUUACUACAUUUUAUCUGAGAUUCACAACAGAUGGGCUAUGAACCAAGAAAAAUACAAUGGGAGGAAAGAAAAGAUAAAAUUAUUGGGCAACGACUACACAGAAGAUGGACCAACCCUGAGACAGGAUAUAAAGAAGGGUGAAGGGGGUAGUCCCAGUGAAGUAGAAAGAAGAAAACCAUUUUCUUCAUAAAACUAUAGAAACAGCAGUGUUUACCUUUAGUGUUGUUGCUACGCAGAAGAAGAGAAGGUAUCUUGGCAUUUUAUCAACCAUAUUUUUAUGUACUGCCAUCAAGAAUUUCUUUUCACUGCCUCCAUAUAUUUCUUGGUCAGGCAACCAUUUUCAAUGAUACUAAAUCCAUCUACUCCCAUAUAUCUGGCCCAGAACAACUCAAUCAGACAUUUUUUUAAACCAGCCCUAUGAAAAGAUGUUUUGCAAAGCUAAUGACCAACCAAUCCUGAGGAUAGCCAUCCACACAUUUUAGUGAAAGGACAGGUUAGAGAAGAAUCACUUGACUAAAGAAAUGCUUACAAUGGGCUGGGCCGGUGGCUCAUGCCUGUAAUCCUAGCACUUUGGGAGGACGAGGCAGGUGUAUCACCUGAGGUCAGGAAUUCACCAUCAGCCUGGCCAACAUGGCAAAACCCUGUCUCUACUAAAAAUACAAAAAUUAUCCAGGCAUGGUGUUACAUACCUGUAAUCCCAGCUACAUGGGAGGCUGAGGCAGGAGAAUCAUUUGAACCCAGGAGGCGGAGAUUGCAGUGAGCCGAGAUUGUACCACUGCACUCCAGCCUGUGUGACAGGAGUGAGACUCCAUCUCAAAAAAAAAAAAAAGAAAGGAAAGAAAAGCCUACAAUGUUAAAGGUUAUGCUAACAUUUAUGGCCAAAGGCAGAAGGGCAAUAUAUAUACUAUGAUACAAAAGAUUUACAUAGGAAAAGUUCAGUUCACCAGAUAUGCACUCUGUACAUGAUGCCAACCAGGUUACUUGAAAGUCACACAUUAAAACAGCUGUCUUCACAUUUGCUAGUUGCUAUCUAAUUUCUAUAGGGUCUUGGUCCUGUAAAAUUUUUCUAAUAUACAUUAUUGGGUUUUUUAAAAUCUUUUAAUAGAAAUUCAAGAGUGAGUAUUUACUGCCUAUAUCUGAUAGAAGAAUCCCAUUUCUCAUGAGAAAAUCAAUGGAUAAAACUCAGCAUUUCUUCAAAACCAAAACUUCCUUUAUCAAAACCUGUAGAAUACAGGUUUCAGCAAAAUUCGUAAAAGAUUCAGAUCAAAUUUCGGUUUCUUAUUGAUUUUCAGGAGGAUUAAUCUCUUUUAUAUUAAAAGUUCA
ensembl:lincRNA